CUCAGCGGGCUUGGGUCGUCCGGCCGCGGGGUCAGGGAAGACCAGAGGACCACUAGCCCCAGGAAGCUUCCCACCACCAGCAAACUGCGUGGUGAAUUUGUAACCGAAAGGCCCAGGUGAGAUGUGCAAAUAUCACUGGAUUGGAGGAGCUCACUUGGAAAGCCAGUAUUCCUCCUGAGCUAAUGAAAAGAAAGGCUGUCGUCUUAUGCCAAAAGCAAUACCAACCUUGUUCACGGGCUGAGAUCUAGAGUGUGUAAUUCACGAAGUAUGAAUCUGCUGGGUAAUGUGAUAUGAAAAGCGAAUGCACCAUUUCUUGGUGAUGAUUCAGGUCAGCGUUGGGACCCAGGAAUCUCCUGUUAAUCAGUACCCUGGUGAUUUUGAUCCAGAGACGGGGUCUAUUAUCUGGUCCUGUUGUCAAGGCUGGUCUCAAACUCCUGGCCUCCAGCGAUCCUCCCUUUUUGGCCUCCCAAGAUGCUGGUAUUACAGGCAUGAGCCACCAUGGUCCACCCGGACUCCUUUUCAUAGGAGACAGUUCCCUAGGCAGAGACUGGGCUUGAAACAGUUCCUCUAAAGAAGAGGGUAGAGACUAGAACUGAAUGAGAUGGACAUAGAGAUGGCCAAGAAAAGCAUCGUCCUCUGCCAAGUCAUGGGGUCAUGUGUGGUGGAUGGUGACAUGGUGUCCUCAGCUCAGAGUCCAGCUGGGGGCUCAGAAGCAAGACGUAGUCUUGCUCUGUUGCCAGGCUGGAGUGC
rnacentral:lncRNA from 1 species